UCUCCGUUGGUGAACCAGCGGAGGGAUCAUUACCGAGUUUACAACUCCCAAACCCCUGUGAACAUACCUCUAUGUUGCCUCGGCGGAUCAGCCCGCGCCCCGUAAAACGGGACGGCCCGCCGCAGGAACCACAAACUCUGUUAUCUUCGUUGAUUAUCUGAGUGUCUUAUUUAAUAAGUCAAAACUUUCAACAACGGAUCUCUUGGUUCUGGCAUCGAUGAAGAACGCAGC
rnacentral:misc_RNA from 1 species